CUGUCAAAAGAAGGAACGUUCCUGACCUCGGCCCAAGGGUAUCGCUGUGCUCUGGUUUGUAUUAGCUUCAGCACCGCUGCAAUCUCACUGAAGGUCAAGUUCCCUUUUAAUAAUGCUUUAUAUAUCCAAGUCUAUCUGCAGUUAUAAAAAUGCUUCCUAAGAGGCAUUUAAGAGUAAAAUGGUCCAGUUCUGAACCAUUCCCUAGCACCUACCGAAGGAGCUCAGUGGCUCCUCUGUGUUCUCAGCGGUCAGGGAUUGGAUGCAGGAAAGAGCAAUGGGGCCAGGCAGGCACGCUUCAGGAGUAAGCACCGUGUGCAUGGCACGCUGUCAAGCUCAGACCUAUUACUGAAUACCAAGGAAGAGGCUCCCGCGAUUGAGACGGCGGGGAUAAAGCCACCCUCCUGGACCUGGCGCUCUGGUCCUGUAAUUCGCUCCUAGGGCUCCAGACAGGGGUGGGCUUACAAGCGAGGACAGUGCAUAAGGCAAAACCACAAGUCAGUCCACGGUGGGAAUGCCUCCGGAUACCACUCGGUGGAGAGUCGGCAGUGGGGCACAAAAAGGAUUUCAAAGGGCUCUGAAAACCGAAAGCCCCUAACCCGGAUACGAGGGGCCUCGAGAGAAAGCUUACUUUGUGCUCACCAUCAUCCUUUGGCCUUUCUUCUCUAACACAGUUCCUGUAUCCAGCCUCAUGCUUUGCUGUGCCUGUAACUGUCUUCUCCCCACAGAUAACCUGUCAUUGAAGUACAUGAAGAAAAUAGUCAAAUAUGUGCCCAUGGGUUUUCCUGAGUACUUCCUACAGGGUAUGCAGUCCACUCUGAAGAUCACAGCCUAGGACCAUAAGUAUGCAGUGAAUAUCUUAAAGACAAUAAAGCUCUAUCCACAGAAUUCUGAGGAUGGAGCUGAUGCUGGAAAAUCAGUAUUCUCUUAGGCAAUGUUACAUCAUCUCCUUAUAACUAUGCUACAUGCUCUCAGUAUUAUUUAUAUCAUCUUUCCUUCCCUUCCACCCAACAGUCUCAUUUCAAGAGAUUUAACCUAAAAAGAUACAAGAACAGGUGCACAUAUAUAUAUGGACAAGGUUAUGCAUCACAGCAAUUUUUAAAACAGCAACAAAAAUAAUAGCAAUAUGGUUAAAUGUGUCAAUCAUGUAUUGGCCUAUAAAAGUAUGCUAUUUCAUUAGUCUAUAGACUAAUUGGGCUACAGACUAACCAUUAAAUGCUUUCCUUCAUGUGGCACUAUA
rnacentral:lncRNA from 1 species